UACGAAGGGGGCUAGCGUUGCUCGGAAUCACUGGGCGUAAAGGGUGCGUAGGCGGGUCUUUAAGUCAGGGGGUGAAAUCCUGGAGCUCAACUCCAGAACUGCCUUUGAUACUGGCGAUCUUGAGUCCGGGAGAGGUGAGUGGAACUCCGAGUGUAGAGGUGAAAUUCGUAGAUAUUCGGAAGAACACCAGUGGCGAAGGCGGCUCACUGGCCCGGUACUGACGCUGAUGUGCGAAAGCGUGGGGAGCAAACAGG
rnacentral:rRNA from 1 species